rnacentral:rRNA from 1 species
GACGGAGGGGGCUAGCGUUGUUCGGAAUUACUGGGCGUAAAGAGCGCGUAGGCGGUUUAGUAAGUUGGAAGUGAAAGCCCGAGGCUUAACCUCGGAAUUGCUUUCAAAACUGCUAAUCUAGAGUGCAGUAGGGGAUGAUGGAAUUCCUAGUGUAGAGGUGAAAUUCUUAGAUAUUAGGAGGAACACCGGUGGCGAAGGCGGUCAUCUGGGCUACAACUGACGCUGAUGCGCGAAAGCGUGGGGAUCAAACAGG